UCAGGCACAAUGGGGGCUCUUGGAAUGACAGGCCGAUUCACUGCUUGUGUUCCAUUGGCCAGCCCUGAGAGGGUGGAGCCUUUUUGACAGGUAAAAUGGGUGUGUUACAUGGGGAGUCUGGGCAUGGUAUUAUCACUCCUUUAUCUUUUAGCGUUUUGAACACAGGGACUAUGCCUUCUAUAGCCUCCCUUCUUAGCGGAUAUUGUCAUGGUAAGGUCGAUGUGAACCUUAAGGUGUUAUCUCAACAGGAGCUACCCCCCCUUAUCUGGCCUACAUCUGCAGGCCCUCUAGACCACAACUCUUCAGGCAGACAAUCUAAACUCUAGCUACCACCGCGAUCAUAACAAUUACAGUGUAGUAGACAGGCUAGUACAGGUCGAUGCAAACAUAUGCGAGGAAAUUACUAGUAUUAAACCACUAGUGUUAAUCAACAUAAACAUGAGGAAAGUAAUGCUAGCAGGAACAUAAAAUUAUGCACUUACAUUAUCACACGGCAACACAAUGUUAACUUUAUGCUAGCAUAAUAAAUUGUAAGCACGUCCACUCGUGUUGGCGGCUAGCACAAAAAGGAAGUGGAAAGUUCGUGCGUGAGCGCAAAGCCUCAGUCCAAAGAGUGACGUAAGCUCACAGUCCAGCAGGGAGUUUUCCUCGAAAAAGUAUUUAAGGUAGCCAAUUGCAAGUUGUGCUUCUCUUUGAAUCUCCUCUGAAGAGUGGCAUCAUGGGGGCCUCAAAACAACUGUCAAAUGAUCUGAAAACAAAGAUUGUUUAGCUUUGUGUUUUAGGGGAAGGCUACAAAAAGUUAUCCCAGAGGUUUCAGUUGUCAGUUUCCACUGUGAGGAAUGUAAUCAAGAGAUGGAAGGCCACAGGCACAGUUCUUGUUAAGGCCAGAAGUGGCAGGACAAGACAAAUAUCGAAGGCAAAGGAUGGUCAGAAUGGUCAAAGACUACCAUCAGACCACCUCCAAAGUGCAUCGCUCAACAAUUCAGCGCACCUUGCACAAAGAACAGCUGUAUGAGAGAGUGAUGCGGAAGAAGCCAUUUCUGGACACACGCCACUUGCUGCCCACAGUCAAAUUUGGUGGGGGGGUCCAAAUGUAUGCACCUGUCUAAUUUUGUUAAGGUGCAUAUGGCAUAUUUUCUGUUUAUCCGAAAAACCUUAUUUAACUGCUGAAAUAGUACUUUGUCCAUGAAGUAUUAUAUAAAUGACAAAGAAGCUGCUGAUCCAAACGCCCAACAAUUAAUAAAUAAAAAUAAUGGAAAUUAUCAGGGGUGCCCGAACUUUUUCAUACGACUGUAUAAUGGUCUAUUGUUAAUCUAGGUAUCAACCUCAUCCAUCUUAACACACAAUUGAAAAAAUAAGUAGCUAGUUGGAAAAAGUCUGUUACUGUCUGAGCAGUGUGGAGCUGGAAGUUGGUUUACUGGACAUUAUAAAGACAGGUACCAACUACUGCCAACAACUGCCAACUUUAGAAUGUUGGCGUUAGUUGGAGAAUGUUGGCGUUUGUUGGGGCAGUGUGCAAGCUGCUUUAGGCUAUAAAUCGCCACAGGCAUAUGUACAUACAUCAUAUAUGUCUAUGAUAAUCGCUGCUAGACGCUCACUGUUCUUGUGCUCCCACAGCUCAUUCACUUUGAAAUACUGAAACGAAAUCUAAAUGAUCGAAAUAGUGCUUCUUUAACUACUAAUAUUGAAUUUGACCAUCAUUGAGAAAAACGGAACAGAAUCUGCAAAUAGCCUAGCAUAGCAUACUCAAACUACUGACAGAGAAGGCAAAUGUAAACAGCCAUCAAACACCUGCUUUCUAUAUUUGUAUAACAGUGAAAUACACACAUUCAAAUAUACACAUUUUUGUACAUAUACACAAUUUGAUAUAAGCAUGACCAAGACCAUGCCUAGUUUUCUUUGCCCUCCGUUAUCGCACCUUUUCAAAACUUUUCUGUUAGCCAAUUUCUGAUAUGCAGUAGCUAUGUAGAUACUAAAGCUAUCUUUGUUUAUUGUUUCCAUGGUAACAGGAGCCGUCUCCGUCUUUGCUUUUCUGUUGGCCAUUUCUGAUAUGCAGCACACGAAGGUACGAUAACGGAGGGCAAAGAAAACUAUGCAUGGUCUUGGUCAUUCUUAUAUCAAAUUGCAUGUCUAUGCUUCCUCAUGCCACAUGCCACUGGAAGAUCUAACUCCUACUGGAAUUCUGUACAUGUAGACCAAUCAGAUGUAUUUGUUUGUAUUUGAAUCUCUAACGGAUAAAUGAUGAUUCGUUAAUCUCUGUGCCCGCGAAAUCGCGGAGCGAGCUGUCAGUUGAAGUCUGCAGUCUGAGGAGAAAGGUAACAAGUUUGUCUGUUGCUCCAGUGAGGCGACUGCUUUCGGUGGAAACCAGCUGUGAUUUGGUGUACAUAUACCCACAGAUAGCCAAACCUCAACUGAAUAGGUAUUGAUAUAUAUUUGACUACAAAUCGUUUUUUUGUUUUUAUUUGUUGAGUGAUAAUUGCGUUCAGCUAGCGAUUUACAAAGUGAAGCUGACU
ensembl:lncRNA